ACAAUACUGUCAACACAAGUACAAAAAGAGAAUUGGGAUUCGAACUCUGGAAUUCAAUUUGUCCACCGCCAUGUUUUUCCAUUUUCAUCUGUGCUUGAAAUCUGUGGAUUAUGCAGUGACAUAUGAGGCUUCGCUGUAUAUUAUGGGUAUUUUUCUUUUCUAUGGAAUAGUGUGACAAAAGGGCUUGUUUUAUUCAGAGCCUGUGUCUCCUUAAAGCCAUUUUAUUGUUAUCUGUUGGUGAAAUGAAAAUAUGGAGCUGCUUCUAUCUUUAUCAGGCUUUACUUGUUUGAAUCUGAUCUUAGAAUACCCAUCUAUGCAAAGCAGACAUUUCAUAUCAAACUCCACAAUCCAGAAAGAAGAAAGCAAGACAAAAGAAUAAAAUUGCUCUGAAUUAUGGUGAUUACUCUGGAGGCAUACCAGUAGCAGAGUAUGCUCUAAGGGCAUUGGUGGCUUUCUGAUUACUAAAUAAAUGGCUGUAGCAGGAAUGCAAGUUCAGGAAUGCAAGUUCAGGUGGUAGCAGGAAUGCAAGUUCAGGAGAGAUCUUCAUGCACUGAGUUCUCAAUGUCUGUCAGUCUGUUUUUUCCUUUCAAUUUUCCCCAAAGAUCUUUUAACUUAUGGCGCUUUCCAUCAAUGAGGUUUUGCAGUAAGAUGGAAGCAUGGCAUCCUAGAUAUUAAUGGCUUGAUGACUCUGGUGUUGUCAUAUGAAAUCAAUCAAGCACUCUCUGAGCCACUCUGGAUUACAAGGAAUGCCCUUUCAAAGACUUGAUCCAAUCCUACUGUUGCCAUUUGGAUCAUUGUGCAGUUCAGCAUUGAAUUUUUGGAUCUUUAGAAUGUUGGGUUUCGUUGUAACUCUGGAUUUCAUAAUCCAUUUUAGUUCUCUUCUUCAUGGAUUUAGAACUUGAUGAAAAUGCUGCAACUGCGACAGUAUAAAAGACUGCCAUAGUAGAUAUAUAUUGAGAGCUGAUCUAACUUCAAACCACUUUCAAGCUUUUCCUGUUUAAUAUGUUCUGUUCCACAAGUGAUUUAGAAACUAGGUAGAAGUGUUUAUAAUGAUUCUUACCUAAUCUAAAUGUUAGGCCUAUAGAGAAACUGGAUGACCAGUAAACUUAAAUUCUAUACAUGAUUCGCAAUGGAUUGCAAACAAAUCAAUGUCACUAGAAGUAAAUGGUGAAAAGUAUAUAUCUUCAUUUUUCC